rnacentral:rRNA from 1 species
GACGAACGCUGGCGGCGUGCUUAACACAUGCAAGUCGAACGGAAAGGCCCUGCUUUUGUGGGGUGCUCGAGUGGCGAACGGGUGAGUAACACGUGAGUAACCUGCCCUUGACUUUGGGAUAACUUCAGGAAACUGGGGCUAAUACCGGAUCGGAGCUCCUGCUGCAUGGUGGGGGUUGGAAAGUUUCGGCGGUUGGGGAUGGACUCGCGGCUUAUCAGCUUGUUGGUGGGGUAGUGGCUUACCAAGGCUUUGACGGGUAGCCGGCCUGAGAGGGUGACCGGCCACAUUGGGACUGAGAUACGGCCCGGACUCCUACGGGAGGCAGCAGUGGGGAAUAUUGCACAAUGGGCGGAAGCCUGAUGCAGCAACGCCGCGUGCGGGAUGACGGCCUUCGGGUUGUAAACCGCUUUCGCCUGUGACGAAGCGUGAGUGACGGUAAUGGGUAAAGAAGCACCGGCUAACUACGUG